rnacentral:misc_RNA from 1 species
GUGAAUCAUCAAAUUUUUGAACGCAAAUUGCACUCUCUGGUAUUCCGGAGAGUAUGCCUGUUUGAGGGUCAGUUUAAAUAAAAAUCGGUGUUGUAGCUAGCUGUCGUGGUGACGGACCGGAGGUGGGUCGUCUUGCCUUGGGUUAAGUGGCCUAAAAUUUUGCGUGAGUUUUUUCGAAGAAGUUUGAAUGAGUUGACGUGCGUUUACGAGAGCGAAUACUAUGUGUUGUCAUCCUCAUGGUUCGCG